AUUGAACGCUGGCGGCAGGCCUAACACAUGCAAGUCGAACGAGUGGCGGACGGGUGAGUAGUGUCUGGGAAACUGCCCGAUGGAGGGGGAUAACUACUGGAACCGGUAGCUAAUCCCGCAUACCAUCGGAUGUGCCCGGAUGGGAUUAGCUAGUAGGUGGGGUAACGGCUCACCUAGGCGACGCUCCCUAGCUGGUCUGAGAGGAUGACCAGCAACCCUGGAACUGGGACACGGUCCAGACUCCUCAGGGAGGCAGCAGAGGGGAAUAUUGCACAAGGGGCGAAAUCCUGAUGCAGCCAGGCCGCGUGUAUGAAGAAGGCCUUCGGGUUGUAAAGUACUUUCAGCGAGGAGGCGUUACUCACAGAGGAAGCACCGGCUAACUCCGUGCCAGCAGCCGCGGUAAUAC
rnacentral:rRNA from 1 species